CCCAGGGCUGCCCAAGCACAGGCCCUGGCCCCGGAGCCCCUGUGGGACAGGGACGAGGGGAAGGGAGGCACCAAGCGGCAGGGAGAGUGUACGGAUGCAUUUAUGAAGGCAAGUGUUGGGUCUUAUUGGCGCCGCACAAGAAACCAACGUGUGAAACCCAGACAUUCACUGUUAGAAACAGGAAGAAGCUGUGGGCCCUUGCUUCAGAUUCUGCAAAAGAUGUACCAAGGCUGAGGAAAUUGGCAAAAAGGGAAGAAAUGCCGUAGCAUAACUUUGGGAUGGCAGAUUGUACACAAAUGGGAGGCCUGAGCAGGCUGCAUUUAGCAGGGGAACAUGACCUGACUGCACAGGAGGCAAGGAACUCUCUUCUCUCGCUGACCAUGAGCCCUCAGUUUCAAGGCAGAUGUGAAGAGGAAUAUUUGACCCGUGGGAAAUGCAACUUCAGAUACGUAACCCAGGUGUCGCUGAAACAAAGAAGUCCAAGAGUACCAGGGAGUUGCCUCCCCUUCAGGAGGAAGGGAAGAAAAACAACUUGCCAGAUGAAGUGCUGAUCCAUUUCACCUAUGCAAACAGGAAAGGAGCGAAGAAACAAUGAGAAUGUACGUGAGAUGCAAAG